rnacentral:rRNA from 1 species
AGAAUCAACGCUGGCGGCGUGCCUAACACAUGCAAGUCGAACGAGAAAGUGGAGCAAUCCAUGAGUAAAGUGGCGACCGGGUGAGUAACACGUGACUAACCUACCUUCGAGUGGGGGAUAACCUCGGGAAACCGAGGCUAAUACCGCAUAACAUCGUGAGAUCAAAGCAGUAAUGCGCUGGAAGAGGGGGUCGCGGCUGAUUAGCUAGUUGGCGGGGUAAUGGCCCACCAAGGCGAAGAUCGGUAGCCGGCCUGAGAGGGCGCGACGGACCGACGACCUGGAACUGAAACACGGUCCAGACUCCUACGGGAGGCAGCAGUGGGGAAUUUUGCGCAAUGGGGGAAACCCUGACGCAGCAACGCCGCGUGGAGGAUGAAGUCCCUUGGGACGUAAACUCCUUUCGACCAAGACGAUAAUGACGGUACUGGUGGAAGAAGCACCGGCUAACUCUGUGCCAGCAGCCGC